AACGAACGCUGGCGGCAUGCCUAACACAUGCAAGUCGAACGAUGCCUUCGGGCAUAGUGGCGCACGGGUGCGUAACGCGUGGGAAUCUGCCUUUCGGUUCGGAAUAACUCAGGGAAACUUGAGCUAAUACCGGAUAACGUCGCAAGACCAAAGAUUUAUCACCGAAAGAUGAGCCCGCGUAGGGUUAGCUAGUUGGUGAGGUAAAGGCUCACCAAGGCGACGAUCCUUAGCUGGUCUGAGAGGAUGAUCAGCCACACUGGGACUGAGACACGGCCCAGACUCCUACGGGAGGCAGCAGUGGGGAAUAUUGGACAAUGGGCGAAAGCCUGAUCCAGCAAUGCCGCGUGAGUGAUGAAGGCCUUAGGGUUGUAAAGCUCUUUUACCCGGGAAGAUAAUGACGGUACCGGGAGAAUAAGCCCCGGCUAACUCCGUG
rnacentral:rRNA from 1 species